CUCAAAUUUUACAAAAUCGUCGUGUCUGCAGCUGCACAGCGGCGGAGCGGUGUCUCCUGUGCUUGAGUUGUGAGUUCUUUUAGUUCAAUUCCUCACAUGUUCAGCUUGAAGCCGAUGAUGAUGAAACUUGAACUGGAAUUACCGUCUGAAUAGAUUUAUUCUUUGAUGUAAAUUUCUUGGCUGUGGUACUGAGGCUUUGCAUUGGUAUCUUCGUUUUUUUUUUUUUUCACUCACUUUUUAAAAACCAUAUCAGUUUAGUCUAUCAACACGUCGUUGAUUGAUUCCUUAAACGCUUACAGCUCCAUCAGGAAGAGAAGCAAAUGGCUAAGCGUUUGAUUCCAACCUUCAAUUGCAUCCUUGCUGAAAAAAUUGUCCCUCCUUCCAAGACCUCCGCCGGUGUUCUCCUCCCAGAGAAGACUUCCCAGCUUAAAUGUGGGUUAACUAAAUCAGUUGAGAUAUGAUGUUUGAAAUGUGGGUUAACUAAAUCAGAUUUGAAUUAUCGUCUGACUAGUAUUGUUAUGUGAUGUUAAUUUCUGGAUGUUUCUUGAUAAUAGAUUUUUGAAAUCACCUUAAAUAGUUUGUUUACUAA